AAAGUAGGAAAAUAAACAAAUAUUUGACAUUGCGCAGGGAGAUCCUAUGGUUAAUUAUCGUUAAGCGCACAGCAUUUGAAAAAUUGAUUUAUUUCGUAUUGUUUGGUAUGUGUUGUGACUUAUCAAGAAGAUUUUCAGCAUGUCUGUAACAUAUACUGAAAUACUUUUAACUAGUUGUAUAUUUAUCAUUCCUUUCUUAUACGAAUCAAGUCAUGUAUUCCGGUAUUACUUAAAGUUUUUCCUUUAUUAUGCCAUUGUGAUGACAAAUUCCGUAAUUCUUAUUCCUGCAUACUGUUUCAAGCCUGGAAAUGUAAGAAAUCUACUAGUUGCAAGUGAUUUCUGUGGUUGGAUAACUACUCUUUUGGGACUUAGAUGGAUUUUGAAAGGAAAAGAAAACUUGGAGAAGGAUCAAGCCUGUAUAAUUGUUGCAAAUCAUCAAAGUUCCUUAGAUAUUUUAGGUAUGUUCAAUUUUUGGCGAGUGAUGGACAAAUGUACAGUGAUUGCAAAAAAAGAACUUUUAUAUGCAGGUCCGUUCGGCCUUGCGGCGUAUCUCUGCGGCAUAAUAUUUAUACCGAGACUACAAGGAGCAAGAGCCAAAGUUAUCAUGAACGAGGCAGCUAAAAAAAUUAAGACUGAUAAGAUUAAGUUGUGGGUGUAUCCCGAAGGCACAAGAAGAAACGAUGGAAAGAUACAUCCAUUCAAAAAGGGCGCUUUUCAUAUGGCUGUAACAAAUAAACUACCAAUUGUACCAGUCGUAUUCUCCAGAUACUACUUUUUAGAUAGGAAUAUUAAAAGAUUCGAUCACGGCAAAGUAAUUGUAACGGCAUUACCUCCAAUCGACACAACUGACAUGAAGAUAGAGAAUGUCGAAGAAUUAAUGGAAAACGUCCGGAAUAUGAUGCAACUGACAUUUAAUGAAGCUAGUAAAGAAGUAAUGGACGGAUACAUCGCGGUUUCCAAUAAAAAAAUUACGUGAAACUUUCCGCGAUAUUUUUUAUUUUUAUUAAUUACGAGGUAACUGGAAUUUGUUAUAAAACUAAAUCUACACAUAUUUCUGGUAUUAUGACGUUGGGUAGUUAGAUGUGAUAUUGUUUAAGGUACUAAGGUUUUUAAGUUUAUUUAUUCCAUAUCUUCACUCAAUUGAAAAAAAUCACUAUUUGCACAUUUCUAACACUAAAAGAAUAGUUGAAUUGCAAUUUUUAUUCAUUAUAAGGCAUUGUAAAAUUUUGUGAUUUUCCAAUUAUUGACAAGAAAUUAUGAAUGUGAAUGCAACUUAUAAAUUUAGAAUGUUAAAAAGAGUGAGAGCACUUGAAAAAAAAAUUAUACAGAUCAACAUCUUUAAUUUCAACUGAAAACACAUAUCUUUGCAUAUAAAAAAUUUUACUUGGUGACUAUAAUUUUUGAAUAUAUGAAAUAUUUGAUUUUAUUAAACAAAAAUUUAUCAAAAUAUGCAAAAAUUAACAUUGAUAUAAAUACAACUUAUAUAUGGUUAUUAAGGCGUAAAAAAGUUUCCCUAUAAGAUAUGUCCAAAUUUGAGCAGGAUGUGUAGGAAUGCUUCAACAUACUUAUAAAUAAAUAUGUCUUUUUAACAUUAAAGAUGGAGCUUUAACCAUUUUUCUUCAUUUGCAAUUGCUAUCGAAAAUACGACUGGCGACAUCCCUAGAUUGAAAAAAUUUUAGGCUGGAAUAUUUGUGGUAUCUUAGAGAUUAGUUGAAAAUGAAUAUUUUCACUCUAUCUACAGAAUGAUAAAGCAUGAUGAGAGAAUGUGUAGGAACUGAAGAAAGACUCUAUACUUAGAUAUCUUUUGUUAUAUGGAAUGAUAUCCUCCGCAGAGAAAUGGAAGGAAAUAACAAGUAGUUUCAACGAGUCCUGGAAUAUACUCAAUUGUACAGAAGCAAUUAAUGACAAACACAUAAGAAUACAGAAACCAGGAUUGACAAAAUAUAAUUCUAUAAUACUUCUGGUCACCUGCGAUACUAAUAGUAUAUUAUCGAUACUGGUUAUGGUGGUUAUGACAGUGGUUCCAGAUUAUUUCGUGCCUUGGUCUUAAGCUACUGGUAAUAAAUAAGCGGCCUUAUCGAUGAGACGAAACAGGGGAUAUCGUGGCAAAUACCGCAUUUCCACUGAGGUACAAUAUAAUACGACUUUAUUCAAUGGUGUAAUUAAAGAAGAAUAAAAGAAGAAAAACAAUUGAAUGAACUUUUGCUAUGAUGACGUAAAUAUUUCAAAAGUUCUCAACACCAAUUCGAGGUUAAAUUACACAAUUAUAGUCAACAUAAUAAAAAGUAUGUGUGUUACAUAAUAUUUAUAUAAUAUAGGUGAUACACGCAGGCCUUUUAGACCCAUAGCAUGGAAGUGAUUCCCUUCCACUCUAUCCUAUUUUUUGCUUUCGUUUUCUAGUCCUGAAUUCCUCUCUCUCUCAGGUCUUCCAUCACCACUGCGUACUCUAUUUUCCUUGGUCUUCCUUUUAUCUCGUUCCUCCCUGUUUUAUGUCAUAUAUCAUUUGUUUGUUGCUCUAAUAUCUGAAAUUCUGUUUAACCUUGCGCAACUAACAUGUUUGAUUGUAACAUACAAGCUAACAUCAGUCUCAGAGACCGUUCUUAUUCAUUAUCAUUUUCUUUAUUCAUCAUACAUAAUUAUAUUAAACGGAAUCAAACAAAUUUUUAGAAAAUUAUUAUUGUAAUAGAAUCCAAAAUAAGGAUUCCUUAAACGUCACUCUUACAUUGUAAAAUCACAAACUAUAACAAUCCUAAUUACUGACUUGAAAUUUUUAUCUUGAAAUUAGUCUACGAUUUCAAUACAUUCUUUGUAUCCUGGCGUUACGUGUUCCAAACAAACAAUUUUUUUUCAUUUAUAGCACUUGUCUUCCUUCUUUUUUUACUCAAACAAUAACAACAUCGGAUAUAUUCAGAAUCUGGCGGAGGGAGCCUCAUUUGCAGUGACAGAAAUUUUGUAAAUUUACCCAAUUCUCAUAUUUAUGAUUGCUGGUUGCCCUGAUUUUCUAAGAACACUCUUCUGGGUUGUUUUGACUAUACAUUUGUUUUAUAUAUCACAUAUGACUUAUUGACUGCUAUAUUUAGUGCGCCAUAAAAAAUCACCAUCGAUCAACGUCGCGUAAUAAGCGCAUAAUUUAUCUACGGUGUCUACACCACCUUUAGUUGAUUUAUAAUCAAUGAUCGUAUCGGUCUUCCCAGUUGCUCUGUCUAUGAUAUCAUCUCUCUACAUCUUAGAAAGAAGGAAUACAUUUUGUUUUACACUACACUAGAGUAAUUUUGUUCUACAAUACACUAGAGUACAUGUCGCUUUUUUAACAUCAUCUCUUUUGGAAUCUGUGGUUUAUUCUUCCUCGGGGUUCCUAUUAGUAUUAAGCUGUUGUCCUUUAGAAGCUUUGGAGCCAAAUCAGAGCUUGUGAAAAAAUUAUCCAUUAUUAUGUUGCGUUCAGAUCCCCACACUGGUUCACACAAUCUGGGAACUGGGGAGAUAUAUUCGAUGUGUCAAGACAAUACCUCAAUUUUGGCGGUAUAAAACAUUUUUGCAUCGACUAGAGAAUAUACUUUUAUUCCGUAUUUACUGAGCUUACAUAAUAUAUAUACUCUGAUUCCACAACGUCCUCGAAAUGCCCACAUCAUUUCGUCAACAGUUGCAUAUUGGAAAAAAGAGAAAUACUUCGGUAGAUUAGCAUUACAUACAUCAAAAAAUGUCCUCAUUGCUGCCAGUUUAUCAUAUUUUUGUUGACAUUGUCAGCCUGAAUAAAUCGAAUCCCAUGCCAUCUGUUUGAAAGAGAUCGAAAUGUUGGGAUGAUUGCUUUUCAUUUUACCAGCAAUAUAAAGCAAUCCAAGCAGAGCUUUUAUUUCAUCUUUAUCCGUUGGUCUUGCCGCUCUGUUCGUUUCUGAGUAUUGUUUCCUUUGAAUCUCCAUAUUUGUGUGUGCUACCAAAUUUUCUAUCAUGCCUCUGUGAUAAGUAAAGACCAUAUUACAGAUGCUACUGCUGAGUUAUAAUGUUGUCAACACGAAUUCCGAAGUUUGAAAAUUUUCCUAAAUUUUUUUUCCAUUCGAUGCCAUCUUUUGAUAUGAAGCAAUGCUCACGAUGUAUUCUCAAUUCAAAUGUAUCCAUCUUUCUAUCAGAUACGUCUUGUUCUGUAUCAGAAUUCUCAUCUUGAAUUUCGAAAUUAUCUUCUUCACGACUGUCAUAAGCUUAUUCAAUUCCAUCUGAUUCAUCCCAGAGUUGCUGGAGUCUUUUCGGUUCGUCUUCAUAACUUCCUGAAGCCAUUUUCUUUAAACAAUUCUAAAUAAAUAAAAGGAUACGUAAUUGGAUUAGUAGAUAUAUUUCAAUAUAAAUUUUUGAUUUACUUUAUUUUCAGUCUGUAGGAUCGAGCACGUGUUAAACGAAAGGUAGCAUCCGUCGUUAAAACCGAAUUCACUCAAAUCCACUGUCACGUUUGACACAUGCAACUCACAAUUUUGUACUGAAGAGAGAUGUUUGGGUUGGGAAUGUACUGGAAGCCGUCGGGCUACAGCGUUGCAUAAUCUUAAAGUUUCGGAAAAAUUGUAAACUGUCGGUCUCUGAGACGGCAUGUUAGCUUCAGAAGGUUAAGUGACCCAGUCACUCUAUUCUUUUGGAUCUUAUUAUUCUGCUUAGUUCUGCUUCUCCGAAUAAAUUCCGUAUUUCAUUAUUUAUUAUUGUCAGCCAUAAUUCUUCCUCCUUUUUAUCCCCUUGUAUUCUACUUAGUAUUUUCCUUUCCCAUAUAUAUAUAAGUUCUCUUCCUCUGCUUUGUUAGAAAUCCACGAUUCCACGUAUGUGACUGAUAUUCCAGAUCUGAACCGGCCUUGAUACUCUCCAAACAAGUUUUCUCCAUAUUCUCUCAACCUUCUAUCUAUUGCCUUAAGAUUUGCGUCCAGUUUAACGCGCGAACUCAAAGCGAGAAUAGAGGGAAAUGGAGCAGCAAAAUUUUGAUACUGAUAAAGCUUGGGAAGAAUUGGUUUCAAUAUUCUGAUAAAGAUCAUUUCGAAAAAAAAAAAAGAUAUUAGUGAGUUGAUAAGUAACAAACAAUAAAAUCUAAAUCAUUUCGCUUGUGACAGUUUCUUUCAUCUCAACAAUGUUUUCGAUUGACUGAAUCUGUCACCUCGGACGGUUUUUCAGGACGCAACGUACGCCCGAGAGAUUCGCGGCGAGUUCGCCCUUUCUAGACGAAGUCUUAGACAUGACGCACCUACACUAUUUUUCUUCAUAGAUUCUGGUGCUUUGCAGGCAAUUCUCUUAGUUUCUGCAUAUUCUCUUCUUAGAAUGUUUCCACUUGUGUAUUUAACCGUAAGCGUUCAACACAUUACUGCUGUUAUUCAUCUGACCACCAGUAAAAGAUUUCUGCUUGGAAAACAAAUGAAAGUCGAUAUGAGCGAGGUUGAGGCUAUACAGAGGAUUGUUGUUUUUCAAAACCACCGUCGUCGCUCACCACCGUUUCUCCAAUUAUCUCACAUAUUUGUAGAAUUUCUUUAAGCGCGGUGGAAUUUAUAAUCUACUCUGCCAUUUCAACACAAACAACACCAAGUUCAAAAUUGUGUAAUGACUAGUAGUAGUAACAUAUCGAAGGACCACCAGAUCCCUCCGGAAUGGAAAAAUCAGUGGUAAUAAACAAUGUAUAAUAAUAAAUACGGAAAAAUGUUGCAACAAUCUAAAAGUUAAUAUACUUUAUCAGGAUCGCUGAAUAUACUGUUCACACCAACACCCACAAUUUACACUGUCUGACGCGAGUUUCGACAACCAAGCUAUCGUCUUCAGAGACUCAAGGUAAACUCUUAAAAUGUCUUGGGAUAGUUAAGAAGCUUGAUAUUUGGGUACCUCACAAAUUAAAAGAAAUUCAUUUAACACAAAGUAUCAACAUAUGCAAAUACACCUUAAACGGAAUGAAACCGACUUUUUCUUGAAAAGAAUUUUGGUGAUGAAAAAUGUUCAGCACAAUGUACAGUACAUAGUUCAAAAACGAUCAUGGAGCAAACACGAUCUAGCACAAAUCCCAUCGAAAAACAACAAAAAUGUUUCUGCUGUCAGUUUGGUGAGAUUACAAAGGUGUUGUAUUUUUUGAGCUGCUUCCAAGGACCCACACGAUUAAUUUUUAUGUUUACUAUCAACAAUUAAUGAAUUAGGACGAAGCAAUCAAAGAAAAACGGCCAGGAUUAACAAAUCGGAAAGAUUCAGUGUUCCACGAUUAUAAUGCAAGGCUUGACACAUCUUUGGCAACUCGUGGGAAAUUAUUGGAGCUUGGCUCAGAAGUGAUGCCACAUCUCCCAUACAGUCCUGAUCUGGCACCAUCUGAUUACCAUUUAUUUUGAAGUUGACAAAAUUCUUUGAAUGGUCAGCUUUCAAGAACACGUUGACCUUCAAUCGCACCUGGUUCAGACCCGGACCAGAAAUUUUCUAAGGGCGAAAUCAUGAAGCUGAAAGAAAGAUGGCAAAAGUUCAUUGAGCAAAAUCGAAAAUAUAAAUUUAUCGUACUACUAAUAAUCGUGAAUACUAUAUCUACAACGAGUAGAAAUGCUUUUAUUUUCAUUUUCAUAUAUUCACAAUUAAUAAUUGUUUUUUAUUUUUGUACAAGGUGUCUCAAAAUAAAGUUUAUUAAAAAAAACAAUUUUAAGAAAAGCAAGGAGUUUAUUGCAAAAAUGUUUGUUACAUAUUAAAAUACAUUGCUUGGGAAUUCAUUUCCUAAAAAUAACAUCGUCCAAAUGUAGAACGUUGCGCUUACGGCAUUGCAUGGCUGCCAUUUCGUGACGGAUAUUUUCUUUUAAUUACACUAGGGACAUCGUUUUGUUAGACAAAACUUUAAAUUUGACAUAACUCCAUAGAUAAAAGUCCAUAGGUGUAGGUCAACUUAUGUUACUUCUCCUCAUCACGAAAAAUUUCACGAACUCAUGGCAGAGAUCUAUUAGACGUGUGUGUAGUUGGUCAGUCCUACUGGAACCAUGUUUUCUGGUUAUAACCAUUGAAAUUUUGCAGUUCAGGCAUGAAGAGGUCGUCUAACAUUUGCACAUAACGGUCUGAAUUAACUAUAACUGUGCAUCCCCUUUUAUCUUAAAAAAAGUAAGAAACUAUGAUUCCUCGCACUGAAAUCGUAUCCCAUACGGCCACUUUAGGCAAAUGUAGGGGUCUCUGAUGUUUGUGUUUUGGAUUGAUUGCACUCCAGUGAUGGCAAGUUCGCUUGUUGACGUGUCCAUUAAGAUAAAAAUGGGCUUUAUCCGAAAACAAGAUGUUGGUAAACUUUUAAAAGUUCUCAAUUAUCUGGUUUGCGAUGUCACUUUUAAAGCAACAUUUCCGAAUAGCCAAAUCAGGCUCGUCGCGAUCAAACCGGAAAACACUUUCUACGUUUUAGAAGACCUUGCAUGUCAGGAUUUUGGUGUAUCUAAUGUUAAUUCGGUCUUUUCAAACUUCCCGACCCAUUUUCCAAUCAGUCGAGCGCCUGGCGUAUCAUUUAAGUCUUUAAGUGACGAACUUUGCGAAUUGAAGAAUUUUCUAAACAGUAUGGUCGCAGAAUUACUUACAAUUAAACUCACAACGCACAAUUCGGUCCCGAGAAAAGUGACUAAAUUCCCAAGAGCGAGGCUACCGAUUGAUAUACCUCCUGCGCCCCUCCAAAUAGCUGGGUUCGCACAGUAAGCAAUACAAAAAAGAACUUUUUUGGAGGCACCUUGUAUUUCAACAAAUUUGUAUUAUAUUUAUAUUGGAAAUAAAUCAGCUAAAAAACCAAAUAUUUCUCUUCAUAUAAUAUAAUAUAUUGCAAGGAUUGUGUGUUGAAUAGUUGGAAAAAUCUAUUUAAAAUAAUGUAUGAACUAGAAUCAUCCUAGAUUUGUUGUGUUGUAAGACUAAAGAAAAAUAAUGCGUAUCUUGUGAGCAAAAAAGCAAUAAUUUUUACAUUUCAUAAUUAAUACUGGCAUGUCCUAACUUUUGAUUUUUUUUGUAUUGAAGCAUAUUUUUCCAACACAUUUAGUUGCCUUUCUUUUCAAAAAAAUAUUUUAAUUCCUCACGCUCAUAGUCAUUGAUACAAUAAGUUGACCGUUACAGUGAAUAAUUCCUGCAAGGGAUUUUUUUUCAAACAAUUAUAUUGUUACACAGGACCGUCUUUUAAAACCAGGGGGCCCAAGGCUUAACAUAGAGUACGAGUAUGUAUGUAUGUAGUUUUGGGGUUUUGUAUACACUGCGACCCAAAGGAUCUAUUGAAUCCCCCUUUCUUGUUACGAUACUGGGAAAUAGUGUUUACAGAUGAUCCAUCAAUCCCACUCCUUUUAAAAAGUCUAGAAUGUGAGAUGGCUUUAGAUCUUCGUCUUCUAUUUAAUGCACUCCCAGGUGCAGUGCUCUGGAGUUCCUUAAUGUUUCACACUUCGAGAGAAUGUAGAUAGACGAUUCGUCCUCAAAGAAAAUAAAUUCAUGCAUCUUCAUUAAGCUAUGUAUGAAGAUUCAUGUAAAAAAGAAAUUUAUGCAGUAUCGAAACAAGUUUUUAUUAUUCUAAACGUUCUUGAUUUUAGGUCUCUUCUGAUUUGAAUCUAGUUUGUCUUUAAAAAAUUAUAGAAGAAAUUAAUUUUAAAUUAGAAGAUACCUAAAAACAUUUAGAAGCAUAAACAUAUCAAAAGUUCUAAGAAAUAAGAAAUUAAAGAAACAAUUUUUUAUUGAUACGUACAUUGAAUCUUGGAUAAAAUUUGUUUUAAUGUUAUAUUUGUUUAUAAUUGAUUUUGUCGAACCCUUUUUUAUAUUUUAUACAAAAACUCAUUCCAUGAAUUAUUUUUUUAGUAUUAUUCGGUCCUUAAUGGGCCCCUCCAGAGCUUGGGCCUAUGCAUAAAGACGGCCCUGUUGUUUCAGUUUCACUUACCACUACACUAAAACUCACAAAUUACACUAGUACACUAUCUAAUUACCUUUUCGCAAGUCAGAUAGCGUAAUUGAUGUAGUGGAAGUAAAUAUCACGUUUUGUAGAAAUAUCUUCAACGGUUCCAGAAAUUUCAACUCAACACAAUACCCGUUUUGUAUUCAUUAGAUGCAUAAGGCAAAAUAAUUUAAGUAACAAAAAUUUUGAACAAAACAAACGACAAUAUUAGUUGAAGGUUUGAUUCAGUAGUGGAUACUGAAAAAAAAUUUUUUACGUUAUUUUGAGCGAUUUUAAACUAUUUUUUGAUGAAAGUAUUCAAGAAUAUGAAUUUUAUUGUUAUUGAUUGGAUAACCAUAAAUACUAAUUCAAAAUAUAUAGAAUUAAACUUAUUUCUGGAAAAAACUCGAGUAUUAACAUAUGGUUAUCCAAUGAAAAAUAUUUUUAAAUAUUUUCAUCUGAAAUUUAUAUUAUAAAUACGUCCAUUAUUUAUAUGUUUUUUGAUAUGUAUUAUUCAGUAUUGAUGAUUGAUUGGCGGUGAAAGUAAAGAGACGAGAUUGAUUCCUAUAUAUGCCCUUACGUGAUAUGAACGCCAUUAGGUCGUUACCUAUGUUGUCAACUGUGAUAUGAAAUGUUGCCGCCAUAUGUGUGUGCCAUAAAUUCUGCGAUGUCGUUAUUUUAGUCAAGAAUGAAGAACAAAAGUAAAUAACUGAUUUGUUAUAUUGUAUAAACAUUUCAUAAUAUUUAGGUACAGUCAACUCCGGUCACUAUGGACUACUCUGGAAUAUUUUUUUAUAUAAUUUUGAGCUGCAUGUUGCCAGAUGUUAUGGAUAUAUUGAAUGAGUGACAUUUCAAGAUGCUGGAAAUGAAUUUGAAAAUUUAUUGCAAUAAAUGUGUCAAAUAUGUCUUGGGGUAACAUUAAACCACCUAAGUUAGUAUUUUAAAUGAUAUUUUUCUUCAUACUAUACUGUAAAGACGAUUUUAAAGCACUAAUUUGAGUCCGGAAAAUAGUACUUUACGGUAUUCUUAUACUUUACAGUACUCUUAAAUUCUUUCGAUCCCGUUUUAAAUAAUUAGAAAUAAAAAAUCAAUUAACAUCAAUAACUAAACUAUUAUUUUGUUACCAGAAACAUUUAUUGUAGGAAUUACUGGAUGUACUUCUUUACUUUCAAUAAUGCUGGAAGAUGUGUGGUUUUGGUUUAAUACUUGUAGAAAAGUUUCACCCCCUUGUAUCAUUCUUGCUAUUUUUUUGCUCUUGACGGAUUCUUCCACAUAUUUUUCAGCAACUGAAGAGCUCUUCCAUUUGCCGUGCUGUUUUUGAAACAUUGAUAUCAGCCCCAGCGUUAUCCAACAGCGUUAACGAAGUCCUUCUGAAGCAAUGUCCGGUGUACUUUUCUGGAUGCUCAAAAUUGAAGAAUUGAGCAUUUUUUUGGUGCCCCGCCGACAGUGUGUAUUCCAGCUCUUUGAUCUACGCAUUUUCCUUGUCUGUAGCCUACCAAAAGUGCUUUUAGUAAAAGGUGUUUUCACAAAUUUUUAUAUGUUUUAAACACAUCCAAAUAUUGCACCGCAAUGCUAUUGAUCACAAUAAAAACCCGUCGAACAUGGGUUUUUGUGUGAUUAAUACGAACCACUAACUGAGAACCAGUAUCCUCUACAUCGUCUACUUCUAAAUUACAAAUGUCUUCCCUUCGACAACCUCCGGCAAUUCCAAUUAAUGUGAUAACUUUCACCAGUAAAUAGUCUUUGUCUGGGGCGUCCCUCAUAAACGUUUCAACUUCUCCCUUUGUUAGCACCUUCGACACUUUGUUUUUUUUUAAAAAGCUAUAAACUAAAACUAACGGGAAAUGUUGACAUUCUCAUUAACCAUAAUCAUUGAAGAGCUAAUUGAUAUUUUUUACUGAAAAUUUGAGGUUUGAAAAGAAUGCUUCUAAAAAACAACUGUUCUUACCAACAUCAAAUUUAGAGUCAUUUUUUCGGAAAAUAUUUUUUGUAUUUCCAAAAAUUCAAUAUGUCUACCUUUGUUGUCAAUAUUACCUUAGUAACUCAUAACUAUUACCAUUUUGAUUAGGAAAGAGACUGUUCAAUAUGUAUAUUUAAACCAAAUAAAUAAACACUAAAGAAAAACAACAAAAGCUAAAUGUCCUUUCACAUUUUUCUUCUCUUUGUAUCAUUGUUUAUUUAUAUCCUACCUCCUCUACCGAGGAUUCACUGAUUCACAGAUCUACAGCUUUGAUUUGAAUUUUGAGGCUCUUAAAUAUCACAAAUUCAUUUCAAACUUGAAAUUUUUGGUUCUUGAUAGUCUAUUUUAAAAAGCUCGAUCUGGUCUUAAUAAUUAAUUAAAAUGAGUACCAUAACUUCCACGGGAAAAUGAAUAUUUUUGGAACAAAUACAUACUUUAGAAACUUGAUAAUGAACUCUCUACAUCAGUAACUCAUUAUAUUGUAACGUUCUUAUUUAUUUAAACAGUUUUUAUACUGUGGGGUUAAUUUAUACACAAAGUGUUUUACUUAUUUACUUAAUUUAUUUAUACGCCAACACUACAUUCACUAAACUAUUCACUAUUUUCUCAAAACUACAUUUGUUUGAAAUGUUUCAGCGACAAAAAGACGAAUGUGCUUUUAAAAAAAAAUAAAUAUAUCCAAAAUUUUGUUAGAUAACUUAAGUUGGUCGUUACAAAUUAUACUUAUGGCAGAAAAUAUUCAACAUCCCACAAAAAGCUUAUGUUUUUCUGUUAUUACGAACUUUAAAAGCAAUUACCUCGAAACUAUAGUUUUGCAUAGUUGGUAUGGGACCGAUGAGGUGAAAAACUAUAAUUUAAAUAACAGGUCUAACCUUCAAUUGACAAAUGUUAACUCUGAAGUUUAUUUCUCCUUAUUAUUUGUAUCCGAGUUUUUGAGUAAGAGAUAUAUUCAAAAACGGAUGGAGACUCAACAAUUGAAAAAAAAAAAAUUGUUUGUUGUGGUUCAAUGUUACCCCUAUGGUCUAAUAGUACCCGAAUUGACUGUGAUAGUUUUGUAUGUUUUUAUUAUAUUCCAGUCGAAUAAUUGUAAAAUCGCUCGAAAUAUAGACGAAAUACUGAAAUUUUAUUGAAAAAAAAUAUAUUAUUUCUAUUGUGUGCACUUGAUUGUAAUCAAUUUACUAAUUUUGGUAUGUUGUCAUAUUCAACUUACUGAUUAUCCCAUUUCAUUUUAUCAAAACUAAUGAUUGAAACACGGUGUCAUAAAUAUUUAAUUAUAAAAAAAGGUUAUGAAUAUUUAAAUUUUGUGCUACCGUUACUGUGUACUUCUUAUAAAAAGUUUAAAUUCGGGAAACCAAUAACAAAUGGUUCUUUUCAAUGGAGCAGAGUCCGGAUAACACUUUUAAAGCCAUUGCUGAGCUUAUACAGUAUUUUUUUCAUCAAGAAGCAAUGAUAAAUUGACACACGAAAUUGUUUUAAAUCGAUUGUUUUGAAAAUAACAGAAGUAGCUUCACUUAAAUGGCUGUCAUUUUUUUCUGAUUAAUGGAAAUGUCAUUCAAUUUAACACAUAGUCUUUUGAAAGUUGGUACUUCAUAAACGUCAUUGGAUUUGACAAUUGCAACGCCAUCUGUGUGUCAGUCACACGACAUACGUUUCAAUAAUAUAGUGUAACAUUUAUAUCUAAAAAUUUACUUCAUUGUCAUUUAUUUAGACAAUUUAGACAAUAUGCCAAAAUUUUUAAAAAUCAAAUUACGUGUCAUUUUUUUAUAUAUGUAUAAUGUGUCCUAAAUUGCAGGUUAUCUCAAAAACACAGGAAGUUUGUAAAACAUAUCUAAGCUUUGGAAGUUUGAAAGCAUUACAUGCACUCACAUAAUAUUUUUAUAAGAAGGGUAAAACCCUUACUAUUUCUUGAAGGCAGCCUGCAAAAUUCCAAUUUAGAAAAUCCUGGAAUGAUUAGAUAUACCUAAUCAUAUACUCAGUCAAAAAAAUAUCGCAAAUAAAUUUAUAAAAAUGAUUUAUUCCAAUUUUAGCUAUUUUCAAACAGCAAUAUUAUUAACGAUACAUUAAUUCUUGCUACAAAAUACAGGAUAUGCUAAAAAUAAUACCUUAAUUUAAUAUAAUUUAUAAAUGUUAUCUAAAUUCAAGAUCAGAAACAGACCGAAAAAAGUACACUGAAAAUAAUAAUAACAAUCCAAUAAGAGAUUAAGUUUUUUUUAUCUAUGGUCUCUAUUUGUCUAAAUCAGGGGUCGGCAACCUUUUUUGGUCGCGGGUAAAAUCAAUCAAAAUGCGAGUAUUAGAGACGUUUGGGCCAGAGAUAUUUUCGUAUUAAAACAGCAUUUUAAGAAAUAAUAAGAUAUAUUUUAUUAAGAAAAUAAUUACAAAACUAGUUGAAUAAACUUUCUCUGCGAUAUUAAUGGCUCCCCUGAUAUUGAACUUCUGGUUUAUAGUCGUUUUAAGUUGAACACAAGCAUCUGAAUUUUUAAUAGUUGACCUACUCCUGUUUUCACUUAAAAUAAAUUUCAUUUGUGAAAAUAUUUGAUCACAUUUUUAAGUGGACCCGAAUGUGGAUAAAAUGGCUAAGCCAAUUUCUUUUAAUGAUGAAAACCUCGUGGGAAGUGAUGCCCAACAUAUUGACAUGAUUAUCUUCUGUAUUUUCCAAAUCCUUUCACAAUUUCUUGAAUUUAUCCGUCCCUAAUGUCGAAGUUUUAAAAUCAAUAAUCUCUAAACUAAAACUGUAAAUUCUUAGAUAUUGAACACCCUGCAAAUUUAUAACAUUUCGUUCUAUUUCAUCGGCCUUGAAUCCGACUUUCAUAUUCACUUUGAACGGAAAUACAACUUUUGAACAUAUUUAGAUUACGUUAAUCGAUAUUUCCUUUUUCAUGUCCCCUUUUUAACAAGGGAAAGAAAUGAAAUUUUGUAGUUUCUAUGUCAAUUUCAAAUAAUAUCAAUUUUGAAAUAAAACUCCUCUAUUCCUCACACAUUUUCAAAAUUGUUUGGUUAUUUCCUUGGAGUCGUACGUUGAAAUCAUUAUCUUGGUUCAUUAUGUCUGUUAAGAGCAACAGUCUUAAAAACCAUUGUUUACCAUUAAGUUCGAGAUCAUUUUCACCGAUUUCGUGAAGAAAUAUUUGUAUAUCAUCAAAACACUCUACAAAUUAAUUAAGUACUUUGCCCCAACUUAACCAUCGUAUUUCAGAAUGUAAUAAAAAAUCUUCAUAUUUCAAUUCAAUUUCCUCCAAAAAAACUCUAAAGUGCCUGUUUUACAAAACAGUUUUUCCUCUCAUACUUGGAGCACCGUCAGUUGUUAUGGGAAACAAUUUACUUUUUAAAUCCAAUACACAACGCCGACUGUCGUCUGAGUCAACAAUGGCGGGGUAUGUAAUACGAGAGCUUCAAAGUCGCCUACAGCGCUUGCCCGCCUUCUUCUGCCCUCGUGGCAUUUACACAGAGCUAUCGGAAUCAAAUAUUAAAGAAAUUAUUAUAAAUUUUCGUUAUUCGUAAUGUGUGAUUAAUAACAGAUGUUGGAAAAUAAAAUUGAAUUCUAACAUACAUGUUAAUAUUAUUUAAUUGGUUAUAAAAAUUGGCUCACCCUAAAUAACGACAAUUUGUAAAAUUAAAUUAAAAAAAUAUAUACAUCCUGUCUAUGUCUAAUGACACUAUUCUAACUAUUAUGACGAUCUAGAAUAACUAAGCUCAUAUUUACGGUUUACAUCUCAGUCCAAUAUGUCUAUCACAAUGUACUCCUUAAUCUAUUUGUCUUUGAUGACUCGUACUGGAACCUCAACUUUAGAGUCUUGUGCACACUUCAGGAAUUUUAUUUGUUAUUAUUUUUUUAUUUAAUUAACCGUUUAGAAUCCAUUGAUCACUAUAUAUACUUUCGGGUUUUCUUUAUUAUUUCCGUAACUCCCCGUUUAGGUUUUCCGUUCACGACUUAUAAAUCCGCAUUUUUUAUUUAUUUCCCGUAACUAAACGUUUGGGUUUUCCGUUAACGACUUGAACUUUGAAAUUUUUAUUUAUCUUUUUCAAUUAUGCCUUUCACGAUAUCUGUUUUUUGUGAGAUAUUAAGAGUGUACUCUCGUAAAUUCUUUUUUUUUACAGGGUUACAGGUUACAAAAUUGACAAUGGAAGAUGCAACAUUAAUUUAUAGGUUAUAUAUCAUUAUGCUAUUUUAAAAAUUAAUGUUGAUUCCUUCAUCUAUAUAAUUAAUUCUCUGUCUAUACAUAAUCUUUAUUUAGCAUUAUUAUGAGGUUCUCUACUCUAUUCAUUUUGCUGAAACAGUGUUCGUGUUGUGUAAAGAAUUCUUCUGUUUUACGCGCUACCGUCGUAAUUUAUUACAAUAUAUUUUCUUUCUUGGUCUCUGUUAUGUUUAUCUAAGUUCAUAGUUACAUUGUGGGCGGCCCAGGAGCCGUUUAGCAUAUAAGCCUUUAGAUAGGCCCGUCGUGCCCCACUUGACGUUACCAAAGGCCGAUGGCCAUGGUGAGAAGAUAGCGAUGUUGCCAUGUCCGGUCACUAGUCGAAUUUCGCGCCUAUUUAGUUGGAGCAGUUGUUUGGUGUGAGACGCACAAGGUCCAUCUAUAUAUGCCUUCACUUUUCUCAUGCCAGGUGUCUCUAUCUAUCUUUGUCGAGCCCGCCGGUGAGUUCGCUGAUCCCAGUCUAGCGAGUGAGUCCGCCUCGUUGUUGACUUUGUUUUCCGAAUAACCGGGCACCCAAACGAGCUGGACUUUACAUUCAUCACUCACCAGACUUUGUAGCACACCUUUUCAGACGUUAUGGCUUUUAUGGCAGCUCUACUGUCUAUUCAGAUUGAGAUUACUGUGUUCAUGUGGCGUCGGUUGCGUAUCGCGCGCCCGCAUUCCAUCACAGUGAAUACCUCGGAUUGGAAGACGAUAGCAUGUUCUCCAAGCGAAAAAGAUUCGCUUAUUUUGGCUUGGAGUCACCAUUCCACUGCUCCCUCUCAGUGAUGUGUGCCCCCAAACACUUAUUAAUAACGGUCGCUGGCGUUAUUUGGUCACUGCCCAUCGAAAUGAUUGGGCGUACACCUGUGGCCUGCAUCCAUAUGUUCGCAUGUCCAGUUGAAUCAGCUUGCAGUUCUUUGUGUUCAACCUGUAGGCUGUCCUCUUAUCUUCGAAUUGUAUCGCUAGAUCCAAGGUGGGAAGCACAGUAGGACUUCAACUUGGUAGUAAACAAUUCGAGCUUUGUGUUAUUACACAUCUUUUUUUGUUUACGUAAAUUCCUAAAUAUACAAUAACUAAUUCUUGAUUGUUUAAAAUGGUUUCUAUCAACCUUGUCCUCGCGAUCAGUUCAACUCAGUUCAUAUUAGUUUUUUUGACCUACGACGUUAAUAGUCACCACACUUUGACUAAGACUUGUUAUAUUUGGUUUUGAUAUGAAGCGUCGAUACUCAUAGUAUGGAUCAUUUUUCAUAAAGCCUAGUAAUUAUGUUUUUAAAUACUGCACUUGAUACUGUUGACUGGUUUACACCUCGUACCUCUAUCUCCGUCCAUUUUCAAUAAAAUAAUUGUUCUAACCACUUUAUCUCUAGUUGAAUCCUUGAUUGUGGAACGUUUCAUAAUAAGUAAUAUGCACAGUAUUUAAACACAAAUUGAGAACUUUUCAAUAGAGAAAAAUAUGGACUGACAAUUAAAAAAAUUAGUUGAAUGAGUUUUAUCAAUUUUUUUCAUUAAAAAUGUAAAUUAAAUCUUAUUUAUAUUCGAUAUUCUUGGACAAAAAAAAAGAACGAAAUUGAUUAUAUAUGUAAUUUGAUACUUUUUUGACAGAGUAUAUUUACCAAUUGACAAUUGUAUAUGUAUCUAGAUUAAUAACUGAUGCAUGCUAUUAAUGUGUACUAUAAAUUACCAGCUUAAUAAGAUUUAGUUCCAAUUGUCUGAAUUUUUGGUAAUUCAAAUAGUGAUAUGUUUUAUAUAUUAUACUAUAUUGAAUAAUAGGAAUCUUCAUAAUUAGACAAUUAUUACUAAUAAACCUAAAAAGUCGCCAUAAUAUGAGUUCAUAAUUGUAACAAUGGGUCCGAAGGAGUAUUUUGAAAUACCUUCAAUACAUUCUCGUUAGGUUUUUUUCGGAAACUAUGAUCCUCGAUUAGAUAGAUCACCUAUCAGCUGAUUUUGGAUCCUAACCCAAACUGAGAUUUUAAUCACAAUUUUUAAACAUCACGUACAAUUUUUAGUGGAAAUUUCAAAUUUAAAACUUGAUCUACUGAACUUUUUUUGUGCGUUAAUUUUUCCAUGAUAGUCAUUCAAUUAUAUAAUAGAUUCUCCUUUUAUGAACCAAAAAAACCCAAUUAGGGUAUUUUCUAUUAUAACAAUCUGAUCAUGAAGAUCAAUAAACAAUUUUUCUAACCUAAUUUAGCUACCGUAAAAAUUCUUAAAUGCUGAGGUCCUAGUGGUGGUCACAUGAGGUCAUUAGUAUACUUUAAUAUCCAAUAAUUUUAGCAUCACUACCUUUUACGAGUUACACGAUAUUCGCACUAUCAUCUAUCACUAUCAUUAAAACUAGUUCAAUAGCUCAAACGGCUUGAUCCUAUUAAUCCUUCGUAUAAAUUGGCAUUGUCGAGGAGAUUCCCAUGUUGUAGUAUCCGUUGUUCAUGGUUACUGGUGAAUUUGGCUACGAUCUGGUUAACAGUCUCUACAUCGAGGUCCCCAUGGAGAUCACCGUUACAGUAAUACCCAGCAACGGUCCUUCUUGAUUCGGAGGGCCGUUGGUGCAUGGAGGAGGACGAAAACGCAUACCACUGUGAGUGCCCUGCACUCUUAAGAGCCCGGCUUAAACUCAUGGACAAGCCUCACAACUUGCCUAAUGACAUUAAAGGGUUCAAGCCAAACCGCUUGAUCGGUUUCUCAAAGGACAUCGACGGGCCUAUCUGAAAGCCUAUGUGCUCAACGGCCCUUUGGCCGCCCAUAAUUUACUAUGAACUAUUUUCCUCUAUUUUGGAAAAGUAUCAACGAAGUCUAGCUUGAUGCUAGACUUCGUUGCGCUGCAUAUCCGAAGCAGCGGUUUCCUUUGGGCCUUUAUAUAUUGUUGCUUGUAUUUGUUUUUCUUCAUGGCCUCCGCCCAUACUGGAGCCCCAUAUAGGAGGCUUGAGUGUAUUGCCUCUAAUGUAACCCUCCUCCUUUGGCUGCCAGGCCCACCCACAUUUGGUAGCAUUUUCUGCAGGGCGGAGGUCCUUUCCUCCGCUUUCAUUACCGCUGCUUCUACGUGCUUCGAGAAGGUCAUUCUAUCGUCAAAGGUCACUCCCAGAUACUUAAUUGUUUUUUUAGGAGCAAUGAUUUGGCCUCCGAGAUCAAAUUUUUAUGGACGACCCCUCAGUAGCAAGAGUCAAGUCAAUGUGACUCCUGCUAGCGCCUCUUAUGAAUGUUGGAUUUCCAUUAUUUACACUUAUUAUAUUAAGUUGGGCCAUCCAGUCAUCCCACAGGUCACCCCUCUCAUCAUUGAUUGGGGAACCCCACUGGGACGAUUUCGCGUUGAUGUCCCCAACGAUCAAGUAAUUUCUUUGUUUGAUGGCGGCGUUCACUAUUUUUUUCACUUUUUUCCUGUAUUCUAUAACAGGGAUGUUAAGGGAUAUAUAACAGGCCACUAUCGCGAUUUCGCUGUUAAGCUCCACCACGAUAUAGCCCGGUUCUCGAAUGAUUUUCCGUACCCCAACAUCCCUGUUUCUGAAGAACACCGCUACAUCCUUUCUUUUGUCCUGUACCCACCCGCAUCCUUCAGUCAGUUUCUUGUUUGGUUCGGCGACAACGAGAAGAUCCGCUUCGAGCUCCGCAGCUUUCACGUGGGUUAGGUCAUACGCUAGCCUGCCCGACGUUAAUCUGCAAAACCCUGAUGCCGUCCUUGUAGUUGUUAAGGGCCAUAUUUUUUAUCCUAACAUGACGACUGUAGACCUAACCUAACCUAACCUGCCUAUUUUAACCCUAACUCUUUCCAAACACGGCUCCCCUAUAUUUUGGACAGCUCAUUGUGUCUGUCCGAUGUCCUUUCUCCUCACACGAGAGACAGUAUGCCUCGUUUUUACAAUCUUGGGCCCUGUGCCCUUCCUUAAGGCAGUUGAAACAGUUCCCACUCCUGUCCUUGCCCUUACAGGAGUAGGUGCUGUGCCCGUAGUCUAGGCACCUAUAGCAUCUCAGGGGGGUAAAUCUUUCCUUUAUAGUACAGAGUUGCCAAUGUACCCUUACUUUAUUUGUGGCCCUUACCACAGCCGCUCUUUCUUCCCUCACCGCAACUGUGGCUGUUUGGCCACCCCCCUGCUGUCCCUCAUACUUUUAAUGUUGAUGUCGUCAUCUUUGAGACCAGUCCACUCGCAGAUAGUCGUCUUGAGCUCUUGUGAGCUUACUGACGGGUCUACCUCCAUAACCGUAAAUACGGCCUCCCUCCUCUUUACCGUCAUCGUCAUAUCGCCCAUUUUUUCGGUUAGAGCACCUUUCAGCCUUUCGGCUGCCCCCUGUCCCUUAAGUUUAACCAGGAGGUCCCCCCCCCCCGGUUUUCUUCACCGCCUCUACAUUGAUGCCCAAUUCGUCCACUUUUAUUUGGGACUUCAUGUUCCUCAAGACCUCUGUGUAUUUAAGGGAGCCGGUUUUGAUAUAUAGUGAUUCCCCCCCGUACCCCCAUUAUUUACUGUAUCACCAACUACUCUAGAUAUUAUUUUAUACUUGAUUUCGUUUCUAUCAUUUUUCUAAUUUCUAGUUUAUCUAACCCCUCCCGUAUCACAAUCGUUAUUUCCUUCUCAGUCCUACUGUCUAUCUCAUCCGAUAUUUCUCUACAAAUGCUGAAGGUUUCUCCUCUCGCCUCUUCUUCGCCACUCACCUUGGCUAUAUGGUUAUACCAUUUUUUUUUCUUUUUUUUUGUUUUAAUUUUGUUUUCUAUCGUUUCCCAUUCUUCCUUACCCAGAUCUUCCCAGACAGUCCAGAUUUCCUCCUUCGUCCUUCUUAUAAUGUCUGCUGUCACUCCGUUGUUUUCUAACUUACCUAAAAUAAUACAUGUUUCUUUCCGCCUCAACGCCUCCUCUACGCUGCUCGCAUGCCACGUUGUAUUGGAGUAGGCUUCCUCCUCCCAUUCUUCUUCUACCAGGCUGGCCCAUUCUUCGAAUUUUCCCUCCGCGUUGUUUAGGGCUUCCUUUAAUUUCUCUGUCCUCCUUUUUCUUCCUCUUCCUAACAUUCUUUACAUUUUGAUUUUGUUUUACCUUCUAUAAUUUCCUUAAGCUCUUUUAUUUUCUUUAGUACAUUUUCCUCCGCCGUCAUGUUUUCUAUUUCCACUAAUUUUUCUAUCAACUUCUCCUCCCAUAUCUCCCCAUACCUCUUCUUUUCCUUUUCCUCUUCCUUCUUCUCUUCUUCCUCUUUUUUUUCUUUGUUUCACUUUCUUCUAUACUGCUUUCUUCCCUUACCCUUUUUUUUACCUGAUCUUUUCCCCUUUACCUCCUCGAACAUAAUUUUCCUCAGGAUAUUUCCCUCGCUAUCUGUGGUGGACAUCUCGUUUUUUCUUCCUCUUCUUCCCUUUCCUCUUCAAUUAUGGUCGAUUGUGUUUCCAGGUCCUUGCUCCUGUUAACUUUUUUGUUUUUUUUUGCCUUUGUAUUCGUUCCUCCUCGAACUUCCGUCUUUCCUCUUCCUCCUCCUCCUCCUCCUUCCUUCUUACCUCUUCCUCCACUGUUCUCCUCUUCUCCGCUUCCUUAUAUCCAAGUUUUUGAGUUUUUAAAAAUUCCAUCUAUAUCCCACGAGUCGGGACGAACGAAUAUCCGGCGGGGCAGUGCGCCCUUACCCCGCUAAGGCUAAAAUACUCAGGGGAGGUCGCCAGGUAUCCCCAGAGGCACACGUUCAAGACUGACUCCGCGCAGCCAUUCAUCCCAUAGCCACGGUAGCUAACAGCGUAGGAUUACGGAUUCUUUUCUCGAGGUUUACUCCUCUAUGUCUUUUUGGUCCGCGAGCAAUUAUUGGGGAACGCAUUUGUUCCUUAUUCAUCACCUAUCCGAGAAGGUUGGUCGGUCAUGUUUCCUCUUACAAAAAGUUGAGCGACUCAGGACCGACCACUCCUUUCGGAGACACCCUAUGAGCCAUUGGGACGCGUCGUGUCGGGUAGACUAAACCCCAUCACAGGGAACUCGUGUCGAGGAUUUGAGCUGCUUCACCUCCUCAACCAGACCUUCCUGAGCACGAAGGUUAUAUCAAUAAAACUCAAUCAACGUGGGUCACAUGUCAUUCAUAAUUCUCUUUUCAUUCUUAAUUGUUAAAAUUAUAAUGGCAUUCCGGUGAAUAGGAUAUGGUUUCAGCAUGAUAGAGCACCACUAUAUUACAAACACAAUGUCCGACAGUACGCCGGAAUUGAUAGAAAGGGUAGACUUUUUUCUAUAGGGACAUCUGAGGGGCGUUGUGUAAUAAACCUUCUAACUAUUUAAAAGAACAAAUAACGCUAGAGAUUAGAUCGAUAACGCUUGAUAUGUUAAAUAAGAUUAAAGACUGUUUUACUGAAAUUUAGAAUGUUGCCAAGACGGUCGCGGUGAACAUUUUGAACAUCUACUCGAUUUUCGUUCAUAGUUCUUUCUAGUGUGCACAAAUGUUUGGUUUUUGAUUGUAUUUCAGCCAAUUUCUAUAAUCAUAUGAUUUUAUUUGUUCUCAAUUGUUCCAAUAAAUUUUGAAACGAUAACAAUUUUGAAUAGACAAUGAGGGGACCUUUCUAACGGUAUAUCGCAAGCCCAUAUUUCCCAUUUAAAAAAGCAGGGGUUGUAUCUGUCAUUCGAAGGUGCUUGAAGGUAGUGAUGCCAUUCUAAAGUUGAAGAAUGAAAAUUUAGAUUUAAAUUUGACGUGUUCUGAGAUUUUUCAUAUGUACUGUAUACAGAAAGAUUUAAAUAAAAAUUUAAAAGUGUCGUUUAAAAGAUCUUUUUCUCCAAAACUCAAUAAUAUAUGCAAUUGGAAAUCUAAAUCUUACGAGCUAAUAUGGCGAUCUUAGAUUAAUUACUGUCAUGUAAUACACGUAUGUAAUUUGAUAAAUUUGCUCAUUAAUUGUAAAACAAAUUAUACAAGUGAGGUGCCAUUUUAUAAUAAAAUCUAGUCAAUUUUAUAUUGCCGAAUAUAAUAUAAAAUUUUAAUUUCAA